UUGUGGGGUGCUUUAUCUUUUCUUUGGCCAAGUAUACACCACUGACCUACAACAAAGUGUACAUCUAUCCUGAGUGGGCAAUCGGGCUGGGCUGGAUUCUUGCCCUCUCUUCUAUGAUCUGCAUCCCACUUGUUAUGGUUGUCCGCAUUAUACAGUCAGAUGGCUCUCUCAUUGAGAGGGUGAAGGCUGUGGCUUCC